rnacentral:rRNA from 1 species
CGACGUAGGUAACCUGCCUGGUAGCGGGGGAUAACUAUUGGAAACGAUAGCUAAUACCGCAUAACAUUGACUAUUGCAUGAUAGUCAAUUAAAAGGUGCAAUUGCACCACUACCAGAUGGACCUGCGUUGUAUUAGCUAGUUGGUGGGGUAACGGCUCACCAAGGCGACGAUACAUAGCCGACCUGAGAGGGUGAUCGGCCACACUGGGACUGAGACACGGCCCAG